GAAGUCGAACGAGAAUCUACUGAAAGAGUUUUCGGACGAUGGAAGUAGAGGAAAGUGGCGGACGGGUGAGUAACGCGUGAGGAACCUGCCUUGAAGAGGGGGACAACAGUUGGAAACGACUGCUAAUACCGCAUGAAGCAUAGGGGUCGCAUGAUUCUUAUGCCAAAGAUUUAUCGCUUCAAGAUGGCCUCGCGUCUGAUUAGCUAGUUGGCGGGGUAACGGCCCACCAAGGCGACGAUCAGUAGCCGGACUGAGAGGUUGAACGGCCACAUUGGGACUGAGAUACGGCCCAGACUCCUACGGGAGGCAGCAGUGGGGAAUAUUGGGCAAUGGGCGCAAGCCUGACCCAGCAACGCCGCGUGAAGGAAGAAGGCUUUCGGGUUGUAAACUUCUUUUAAGAGGGAAGAGCAGAAGACGGUACCUCUAGAAUAAGCCACGGCUAACUACGUGCCAGCAGCCGCGGUAAUACGUAGGUGGCAAGCGUUGUCCGGAUUUACUGGGUGUAAAGGGCGUGCAGCCGGGUCUGCAAGUCAGAUGUGAAAUCCAUGGGCUCAACCCAUGAACUGCAUUUGAAACUGUAGAUCUUGAGUGUCGGAGGGGCAAUCGGAAUUCCUAGUGUAGCGGUGAAAUGCGUAGAUAUUAGGAGGAACACCAGUGGCGAAGGCGGAUUGCUGGACGAUAACUGACGGUGAGGCGCGAAAGUGUGGGGAGCAAACAGGAUUAGAUACCCUGGUAGUCCACACUGUAAACGAUGAAUACUAGGUGUGCGGGGACUGACCCCCUGCGUGCCGCAGUAAACACAAUAAGUAUUCCACCUGGGGAGUGCGAUCGCAAGGUUGAAACUCAAAGGAAUUGACGGGGGCCCGCACAAGCGGUGGAUUAUGUGGUUUAAUUCGGAGCAACGCGAAGAACCUUACCAGGGUUUGACAUCCUGCUAACGAAGUA
rnacentral:rRNA from 1 species